CCGGCUACAGCACGGACAGUAACUACGGCAUCGUUGACAUACCUCGCAAUCCGUACCCUAAAUCCCAGCGCAGGCGGCAGAUCGAAAAAAAUGGUAAACUGAGGCGCAAGGGAGACAACUCUGAGAGUACUCAAAGCAAAGAUGAGAGCUGUAACAAUAGUCUCCCCUCCAGUAUUAGCCAGCAGCCUUUAAAGAAUGCUGGUGGUGCCACUGAAGCCCUGUUUACCCGUCCCCCUUGCCCCCCUCAGACAAGCCCCGCCCCCUCAUCCUAUAAGACCCUACCACCCUCCUUGUAUCGACACAAGACACCCCUAGAUCCCCCCACCACCAACAACAACCCUCCGACGGGAAGCAGGCCAGUCUUUCAGUUCUCUGAUGAUAUUCCGGUGGUAUGACAAUGACAGGGAAAUUUGCUGAAAAUACUCCAUGCGUUUCAACUUUUGAGAUUAAACUGCGCACCGGUGCAGCCUUUUGACCUCUGUAAGAUAAUGGAACAUCAGUUGUGUGUAACCUUAAUGAAUGUUGAGUGUCACCUACUUGAAGCUCAAGAGCUUACAUGAAUGUGGAGUGUAGCCUAUUUGAAUAUGGAGUGCAGCCUACAUCCAUUGGGCCCUGUGUCCAUCGUCUGCUACCACUGAGGCUAUGUUGUACGAAAGCCAUGUUACUGGAUUAUAGUGCUUUGUAGCCUAAACAUCAUUGUAAUGUUCAACAUCCCAGAUGUUUUGUUUUAACCCUUUCAGUGCUGGAACCAAAUUUUGAAGGCCUUUGCAAACAGUUUGGAUCCAAAUGAGAUGCCACAGAACGUGGCGUCUCAUCAGGAUCCAAACAGUUUGCUAUUCUGAUAGUGUUCUUUGAAACAAAAUUGAAGAAAAUGCUAAUUUUAGAAAUUUAGCAGACGACAUUUAAGCAGACGACAAAUUUUCCAGCAUGCAAAGGGUUAAUAUUCAGUGCUUUAACACGGAACACUUACUGUUAUUUGAUCCCAACAAGUCUGUUUACAGUUAUUUCUGUAUAAACUUUCCUAUUUUCAGAUGUUUUAAAGAAAUCUGCAUGGCAGUUGUUCUAUAUGUUUGCGUUAGAAGAAAAACCAAAGAACCAUUGUUCAUGCUAUUAUUUUAAGCUUUUUCAUGAUAUAUUGGUAACAUUUUUAAGAGCCAACAUUUAACUUGUUCAAAAUGUAUAACCAACAGAUGGACAAAGUUAUCGAGGAAAGAUUUUUAUUAAUGUAUCAGAAAAUACUUAAUCAACUGUUUGCCAGAAAGUAAAUAUUUCAUAUAUUUUACAUCAUCUCGAAGUAUUAUGUUUUAAAUGGGUGUAUACUUUCUGUAUUCCGAAAAGAAAUCCGAACAGCAAAUCUUACUGUCAGAUUGAAAGUUUUCCUCAAAUCCUAGAGAGCGAAAAAUGCUUGAAACUGAAUGUCCUUCAAAUAAUCGUUGCUCUGCGAAAAUGGAGCUUAAUGCAUGUGAUCAAAUAAUAGCCUGUCUAUGCAUUUAGCCCCAUUUCCACAUAUCGCAGCUGAAAUAUAUUUAAUCAAAUCUUUUCUUUUGCCUUACCUUUCAUACUUCUUUUAACUUUAAGCUAUUUUUUUAAACAUUACUUUUCAUAAUUUUUUGGUCAACAUAUCUUUGCCAUUAAAAUACAAAUAGUUAAGUGAGAGAACAAUUGUAUAUUUUAACGUAAACAUCCUUAAAACAGAGCUAAUGUUCUCCAUCAUGAUAUAUUUAUACAUGUAGCUUAAGAUUUCAUUUUAUACUGAUCAGUGUGAUCAUAUAUAUAUGUUUAUCAUUCUUGAUACCAAAGUUGUGCAUAAAAACAUUUUUUAUAAAUAUAUAAAAUAUAUUAAAAUGUUGAAUAAAAUGUUGUAAAUUAAGUUCAGAUUUACAAUCUGACAUUUGAUGAUGGGUCUAUAAAACCAAAACAAAACUUUAGUAUUAUUAGGUCUCUAUGAAAUCCAGUAACUGUUCCAGCUUUAUGUAAACUUGUUUAUACGGUCUUGAACAGUUAUAUAAAGUUAAAUAUCUGGUUACUUUGAUUUUCACACACACCUUUCAUAGAUAUAAAAGUUAAACUUUUCCGUAAUUAGAAUUUGUUUUAUGCAAAUAUUGUUUUCCCUGUAUAGCCGUAAACUGCAGUACAGGUUAAUAGGCUUUCAUCAACAUUCACUUUGAUAUAAGGGACUGUACACUUCUAAAGGAAAAAAGUCUGCCGGCACAUAAUUUGGCAUCGUCAUAUUUCAUUCAUUCGCAAUGGAUAUUUUACAUGAUUUUUAAAAUUGUAAUUUGUGAGCAUAAUUUAUAUCAAACAUCAUAUACAUUUAUACACAUUUCAAAGAAACUAAAUAUUUGUGUGUGCUUUUUUUAUGGGAUGACUAAAUACUGCAAGGUUUCAGAUACUGAAUUAUUCAUAUACAU